rnacentral:rRNA from 1 species
GGCCAGACUCCUACGGGAGGCAGCAGUGGGGAAUAUUGCACAAUGGGGGAAACCCUGAUGCAGCGACGCCGCGUGAGUGAAGAAGUAUUUCGGUAUGUAAAGCUCUCUCAGCAGGGAAGAAAGUGACGGUACCUGACUAAGAAGCCCCGGCUAACUACGUGCCAGCAGCCGCGGUAAUACGUAGGGGGCAAGCGUUAUCCGGAUUUACUGGGUGUAAAGGGAGCGUAGGUGGCAUGGUAAGCCAGAAGUGAAAACCCGGGGCUCAACCCCGCGGAUUGCUUUUGGAACUAUCAGGCUGGAGUGCUGGAGGGGUAAGCGGAAUUCCUAGUGUAGCGGUGAAAUGCGUAGAUAUUAGGAGGAACACCGGUGGCGAAGGCGGCUUACUGGACAGAAACUGACACUGAGGCUCGAAAGCGUGGGGAGCAAACAGGAUUAGAUACCCUGGUAU